CGGAACAUGCUUGGCUCCGCAUACGCCAUCCACAUAGACCAUCGAUAUGUCGAUACGCUUUGCAAAUGGCAUACAGGGAGCCAGGCAUAUGCU
rnacentral:pre_miRNA from 1 species